rnacentral:rRNA from 1 species
UAGGGAAUCUUCCGCAAUGGACGAAAGUCUGACGGAGCAACGCCGCGUGAGUGAAGAAGGAUUUCGGUUCGUAAAACUCUGUUGUUAGGGAAGAAAAAAUGUAUAGUAACUAUAUACAAAAGAGACGGUACCUAACCAGAAAGCCACGGCUAACUACGUGCCAGCAGCCGCGGUAAUACGUAGGUGGCAAGCGUUGUCCGGAAUUAUUGGGCGUAAAGCGCGCGCAGGUGGUUUAGAAAGUCUGAUGUGAAAGCCCACGGCUCAACCGUGGAGGGUCAUUGGAAACUAAUAAACUUGAGUGCAGGAGAGAAAAGUGGAAUUCCUAGUGUAGCGGUGAAAUGCGUAGAGAUUAGGAGGAACACCGGUGGCGAAAGCGGCUUUUUGGCCUGCAACUGACACUGAGGCACGAAAGCGUGGGGAGCAAACAGG